AUGGCCUGGGCUCUGCUCCUUGUCACUCUCCUCACUCAGGACACUGGGUCCUGGGCCCAGUCUGGCCUGACUCAGCCUCCUUCAGUGUCCGGGAAUCUGGGACAGACGGCCACCAUCUCCUGUGCUGGAACCAGCAGUGACAUAGGGAAAUAUAACCAAGUCGGCUGGUACCAACAGCUCCCAGGCACAGCCCCCAAAACCUUGAUUUAUGAGGUCAAUAAACGACCCUCAGGGAUCCCUGAUCGCUUCUCUGGCUCCAAGUCUGGCAACACGGCCUCCCUGACCAUCUCUGGGCUCCAGGCUGAGGACGAGGCUGAUUAUUACUGUAGCUCAGGAGAAAUAGGAAACUCAGCAAAGGGCAAUGGUGGAUGA